UGCAAGUCGAGCGGAAACGACACUAACAAUCCUUCGGGUGCGUUAAUGGGCGUCGAGCGGCGGACGGGUGAGUAAUGCCUAGGAAAUUGCCUUGAUGUGGGGGAUAACCAUUGGAAACGAUGGCUAAUACCGCAUGAUGCCUACGGGCCAAAGAGGGGGACCUUCGGGCCUCUCGCGUCAAGAUAUGCCUAGGUGGGAUUAGCUAGUUGGUGAGGUAAUGGCUCACCAAGGCGACGAUCCCUAGCUGGUCUGAGAGGAUGAUCAGCCACACUGGAACUGAGACACGGUCCAGACUCCUACGGGAGGCAGCAGUGGGGAAUAUUGCACAAUGGGCGAAAGCCUGAUGCAGCCAUGCCGCGUGUAUGAAGAAGGCCUUCGGGUUGUAAAGUACUUUCAGUUGUGAGGAAGGGUGUGUAGUUAAUAGCUGCGCAUCUUGAC
rnacentral:rRNA from 1 species